GUUCUGGUAUAAAGUUGUUUUAUCUAGAAGAUAACUAGAGUCAAUGUUACAGGUGGAGAGGAUCGUGGAGGCAUCAGUAGCAGCCGGUGCGAGGGUGGUGCUGGGUGGGAAGCGACACAGUCUGGGCGGCUUGUUCUUCCAGCCCACCAUCCUGGUCGACGUGAAGGAAGACAUGCCUUGCUUCCAGCAGGAGAUCUUUGGCCCAGUUAUUGCUCUCAGGAGGUUCCAGAGUGAAGACGAGGCCGUUGCAAUUGCUAAUGCCUCUGAGUGUGGCCUUGCCAGUUACUUCUACAGUCAGGAUGUCUCUCAGGUGUGGCGAGUGGCUCGGAGACUGGAGUGUGGCAUUGUGGGCAUCAACGAGGGUCUGGUAUCUGCUGCUGAAGGAGCAUUUGGGGGCAUCAAGAAGUCUGGCAUUGGAAGAGAGGGUUCCAGGCAUGGUAUCGAUGACUACACUUACAUUAAAUAUAUCUGUUUAGGCGGUAUUAACUAAGGUAAAAGGAAUUGUGAUGCAUUAAGAUAGUGAGCUAAAAGAAGAGACACAUUGACCAUCACUCAUACUGAUGUGAUAUUUUUUUUUUUAUUAACACAUCAGCCAAUUCCCACCAAAGCAUGGUGGCCCAAAAAAGAAAAACUUUUAUCAUCAUUCACUCCAUCACUGUCUUGCCAGAGGGGUGCUUAACACUACAGUUUAUAAAACUGCAACAUUAACACCCCUCCUUCAGAGUGCAGACACUGUACUUCCCAUCUCCAAGACUCAAGUCAAGCCUGCCGGUUUCUCUGAAUCCCUUCAAAAUGUCACUUUGCUCACACUCCAAUAGCACUUCAAGUAUUAAAAACCAUUUGUAUCCAUUCACUUCUAUCAAAUACGCUCACACAUGCUUGCUGUAAGUCCAAGCCCCUCGCACACAAAACCUUUACCCCCUCCCUCCAACCUUUCCUAGGCCGACCCCUACCCCGCCUUCCUUCCACUACAGACUGAUACACUCUUGAAGUCAUUCUGUCUUGUUCCAUUCUCUCUACAUGUCCGAACCACCUCAACAAUCCUUCCUCAUCUCUCUGGAUGACAGUUAUGAUAAUCCCGCACCUCCUCCUAACUUCCAAACUACAAAUUGUCUGCAUUAUAUUCGCACCACACAUUGCCCUCAGACAUGACAUCUCCACUGCCUCCAGCCUUCUCCUUGCUGCAACAUUCAUCACCCAUGCUUCACACCCAUGUAAGUGUGUUGGUAAAACUAUACUCUCAUACAUUUCCCUCUUUGCUUCCAAGGACAAAGUGCUUUGUCUCCACAGACCCCUAAGUGCACCACUCACCCUUUUCCCCUCAUCAAUUCUAUGAUUCACCUCAUCUUUCAUAGACCCAUCUGCUGACACGUCCUCUCCCAAAUAUUUGAAUACAUUCACCUCCUCCAUACUCUCUCCCUCCAAUCUGAUAUCCAAUCUUUCAUCACCUAAUCUUUUUGUUAUCCUCAUAACCUUAUUAUUUCCUAUAUUCACUUUUAAUUUUCUUUUGCAUACCCUACUAAAUUCAUCCACCAACCUCUGCAACUUCUCUUCAGAAUCUCCCAAGAGCACAGUGUCAUCAGCAAAAAGCAACUGUGACAACUCCCACUUUGUGUUUGAUUCUUUAUCUUUUAACUCCACACCUCUUGCCAAGACUCUCGCAUUCACUUCUCUUACAACCCCAUCCAUAAAUAUAUUGAACAACCACAGUGACAUCACACAUCCUGUCUAAGGCCUACUUUUACUGGGAAAUAAUCUCCCUCUUUCCUACAUAUUCUAACCUGAGCUUCACUAUCCUCGUAAAAACUCUUCACUGCUUUCAGUAACCUACCUCCUAUACCAUACACCUGCAACAUCUGCCACAUUGCUCCCCUAUCCACCCUGUCAUACACCUUUUCCAAAUCCAUAAAUGCCACAAAAACCUCUUUAGCCUUAUCUAAAUACUGUUCACUUAUAUGUUUCACUGUAAACACCUGGUCCACACACCCCCUACCUUUCCUAAAAGCCUCCUUGUUCAUCUGCUAUCCUAUUCUCCGUCUUACUCUUAAUUCUUUCAAUAAUAACUCUACCAUACACUUUACCAGGUAUACUCAACAGACUUAUCCCCCUAUAAUUUUUGCACUCUCUUUUGUCCCCUUUGCCUCUAUACAAAGGAACUAUGCAUGCUCUCUGCCAGAUGUGAUUUAUCACAGUUUAAAUUAUAUGUUGAACUGUAACAUCUGCAACCAUCCUUCAUAGCGUAGGUACUGUGCCACCACCACCACCAUAGUGUAGGUAUUGUACCACUGGCACCACCACCAUCCUUCAUAGCGUAGGUACCGUACCACCACCACCAUCCUUCAUAGCGUAGGUACCGUACCACCACCACCAUCCUUCAUAGCGUAGGUACCGUACCACCACCACCAUCCUUCAUAGCAUAGGUACUGUGCCACCACCACCACCAUAGUGUAGGUAUUGUACCACUGGCACCACCACCAUCCUUCAUAGGGUAGGUACUGUGCCACCACCACCACCAUAGUGUAGGUAUUGUACCACUGGCACCACCACCAUCCUUCAUAGGGUAGGUACCGUACCACCACCACCAUCCUUCAUAGCGUAGGUACCGUACCACCACCACCAUCCUUCAUAGCGUAGGUACCGUACCACCACCACCAUCCUUCAUAGCGUAGGUACCGUACCACCACCACCAUCCUUCAUAGCGUAGGUACCGUACCACCACCACCAUCCUUCAUAGCGUAGGUACCGUACCACCACCACCAUCCUUCAUAGCGUAGGUACCGUACCACCACCACCAUCCUUCAUAGGGUAGGUACUGUACCACAACCACCAUCCUUCAUAGUGUAGGUAUUGUACCACUGCCACCACUACCAUCCUUCAUAGUGUAGGAAUUGUACCACUGCCACCACCAUCACUACCAUCUUUCAUAGUGUAGGUAUUGUACCACUGCCACCAUCACCAUCCUUCAGUGUAGGUACUGUACCACCACCACCAUCUUUUAGUGGCCUGGUGGCUAAAGCUCCCGCUUCACACACGGAGGGCCCGGGUUCGAUUCCCGGCGGGUGGAAACAUUUCAACACGUUUCCUUACACCUGUUGUCCUGUUCACCUAGUAGCAAAUAGGUACCUGGGUGUUAGUCGAUUGGUGUGGGUCGCAUCCUGGGGACAAGAUUAAGGCCCCCAAUGGAAAUAAGUUAGACAGUCCUAGAUGACACACUGACUUUCUUGGGUUAUCCUGGGUGACUAACCCUCUGGGGUUAAAAAUCCGAACGAAAUCUUAUCUUUUAGUGUGGGUACUGUACCACCACCACCAUCCUUUAGUGUAGGUACUGUACCACCACCAUCCUUCAUGGUGUAGGUAUUGUACCACCACCAUAACCACUAUCCUUCAGAGUACAGGUACUGCACCACCACCACCAUCCUUUAGUGUAGGUACUGUACCACCACCAUCCUUCAUAGUGUAGGUAUUGUACCACCACCACAACCACUAUCAGAGUACAGAUGCCAUACCACCACCAUACUUCAGAGUACAGGGAUGAUACCACCACCAUACUUAAGAGUACGGACACUAUACCUCCCACCUCCAGGAUUCAAGUGUGGCUAAUUGGUUUCCCUAAAUCCCUUCAAAACUGCUACUUCACUCCCACUCCAACAGAAAAUUGAAUCCCACAGUCCAGUUUUGUUCACUAACUCCAACCUGCUUGCACAGGUCCACUGGUUGUUGAGUAUGUUGCAGUGUUGCACAUCUUCCCAGAGUGUUCCACCUGCACCAGUAAGGUCAGUGUGUUCCACCUGCACCAGUAAGGUCAGUGUGUUCCACCUGCACCAGUAAGGUCAGUGUAUUCCACCAGCAACAGUAAGGUACGAGUGUUCCACCUGCACCAGUAAGGUCAGUGUGUUCCACCUGCAACAGUAAGGUCAGUGUGUUCCACCUGCACCAGUAAGGUCAGUGUUUUCCACCUGCAACAGUAAGGUCAGUGUGUUCCACCUGCACCAGUGAGGUCAGAGUGUUCCACCUACACCAGUGAGGUCAGAGUGUUCCACCUGCACCAGUGAGGUCAGAGUGUUCCACCUGCAACAGUAAGGUCAGUGUGU